AUUGAACGCUGGCGGCAGGCUUAACACAUGCAAGUCGAGCGAGCGGCGGACGGGUGCGGAAUGUCUGGGAAACUGCCUGAUGGAGGGGGAUAACUACUGGAAACGGUAGCUAAUACCGCAUACCAUCAGAUGUGCCCAGAUGGGAUUAGCUAGUAGGUGGGGUAAUGGCUCACCUAGGCGACGCUCCCUAGCUGGUCUGAGAGGAGGACCAGCAACACGGGAACUGAGACACGGUCCAAACUCCUACGGGAGGCAGCAGUGGGGAAUAUUGCACAAUGGGCGAAAGCCUGAUGAAGCCAUGCCGCGUGUGUGAAGAAGGCCUUCGGGGUGUAAAGCACUUUCAGCGAGGAGGCGUUACUCGCAGAAGAAGCACCGGCUAACUCCGUGCCAGCAGCCGCGGUAAUAC
rnacentral:rRNA from 1 species